CCCCUCUCAGGAUUGCACCUGGAGAGUUUCCAGUACUCUACCAGUCUCGACUACAGGAGGAAGAGUCAAGCAGGGGCCUAACCAUUCCAUUUCUAGUUUGGGCAGUGGCUAGCAAGUGGAAGACAAUCGGCUACGAGU